GAUGAACGCUGGCGGCGUGCCUAAUACAUGCAAGUCGAGCGAACAGACGAGGAGCUUGCUCCUCUGACGUUAGCGGCGGACGGGUGAGUAACACGUGGAUAAUCUACCUAUAAGACUGGGAUAACUUCGGGAAACCGGAGCUAAUACCGGAUAAUAUAUUGAACCGCAUGGUUCAAUAGUGAAAGACGGUUUUGCUGUCACUUAUAGAUGGAUCCGCGCCGCAUUAGCUAGUUGGUAAGGUAACGGCUUACCAAGGCAACGAUGCGUAGCCGACCUGAGAGGGUGAUCGGCCACACUGGAACUGAGACACGGUCCAGACUCCUACGGGAGGCAGCAGUAGGGAAUCUUCCGCAAUGGGCGAAAGCCUGACGGAGCAACGCCGCGUGAGUGAUGAAGGUCUUCGGAUCGUAAAACUCUGUUAUUAGGGUAGAACAAAUGUGUAAGUAACUAUGCACGUCUUGACGGUACCUAAUCAGAAAGCCACGGCUAACUACGUG
rnacentral:rRNA from 1 species